GUUCGCGACAAGGUUGCACCACGUGGAAACGCAUUGCCCGCGCGAGGAACCUGUUGCGCCGCGAGUGCCCAUGGAGUAGCAUGUCUUCGGACGACUCGAAGAUGGACGUGAACGCGUCGAGCACGUCGGCCUCGCCCCGCACGCCGCCCAACUGCGCCCGCUGCCGCAACCACCGCAUGAAGAUCGCCCUCAAGGGCCACAAGCGGUACUGCAAGUACCGCACGUGCAAGUGCGAGAAGUGCCGCCUGACGAGCGAGCGCCAGCGCGUCAUGGCCAUGCAGACGGCCCUCCGCCGGGCCCAAGCACAGGACGAGGCGAUGAUGCGCAGCGGUUCCGUCGACCCGCACGUGCUCCAGGUGCCCCAGAAGAGCCCCUCCCCCGUCCACCCGGUGGACUGCGACUCCUCGGCCUCGUCGCAGUGCUCCAACCCGCCGCCGCUCGCCCGGAAGAUGACACCGGUGCCGGCGGUGCCCUCCAGCACUUCGGUCAAUGUGGGCACGAUCGCCCAAAGUACGGACCUGUUAGAAGAUUGCCAAAAGUUGCUGGAAAGGUUUAAAUACCCCUGGGAGAUGAUGCCGUUGAUGUAUGCCAUUUUGAAGGAUGCCAGAGCCGACCUUGAAGAAGCUUCCAGGCGGAUCGAUGAAGGUCGUGAUGCUGAAAUUCUCCUAGACUUCUGCCAAAGACUAAAGGAUAAGUUCCAGUUGUCAUGGAAAAUGAUUUCGUUAGUGGACGUUAUUCUCAAAUAUGCCAAAGAUCAAGACGAGGCUUGGAGGCAGAUUGAUGAAGCAUUCCUAGAAAUUCGCGCCUUGGCCGCUGUCGAAGCAGCAAGGUACACUUACCAUCACAUCCCCUACACUGGACUGUACUCAAAUGCAGCAGCAGCGAUAUAUCCGCCCGUUUAUUUACCAUCCAUGUCGAUGUAUCAUCCUGCCACCUUACUAGGAUCUGUUCCGCCCAACACAUCGCCGUCACAUUCGCCGCCCAUCGCACCAACGGCGAUCAGACCCAGUAGUCGAGCGUGAUAAGCUAAAUAUACGUGUAUACGUAACGAUUUAGAAGCAUUCCUCAGUAUACAGAAUUUCCAGGUAAGUAAUCGAAGAAAAAGCAAAAAGAAAACUUUGCUUCAUUUCAGUGCAUGAUGUGUGGAUGUCACAUUGCCUCAGGAAUUGCUAGUUUGCCAAAAACAGAUAAUAAAUGUUCGGAUUACCACAAUAUAAAAACGGAAGUUGUGAUUGUAAUGCACUAUCACAUCACCAUGAAGGUAGUGCAAGAAGUAUGUUACUGUUUCAAGUCAAUCCGUCUCGUCAAAGGUGUAGUCGUCCUAACUGUUACAAUAAUAGUCUAUAGUUAGCAAUAAAUAGUACUGAUAACAGAAUUUUUUAAAUUCGAUGUAAUCGAAGUCAAAAAUUCCCAAAAAGUGGAGCUGUUAUUUCAAGGAGUUUUAGCGAUAACGUCCAGUUGUCAAGUUUAAAGUCUUGCUGUGUAUUCUUUGUUGAUAGCAUAAAAUGUAAAAUGUACAUACGGUUAUAAUAAUUAUUUUUUGUACAAAGAGUGUCUGCAAAAGCUGUCUUGAGCGUUUUGUGUAUUUGUAUUUUAGGGAUUGUGGCCAAAUGAAAGGCCUUGUGAUACAAUUGACUUAAUUUACUAUAGUGUUAAUGUUGUUAGUGAUUUCCAUGAAUUUUGACCGAAUUAUGAGAAGUAGGUUAAAUAUUCCCAAAGUUUUUCAUCAGAAAUAUUACUUAUUGUAAGAUGAUCAUUCAUCCAUACUUGUAAGAUGUGGUGGAUUCAAAUCAAAGUUUUUUGUAGUUUGACACAAUCACUGGUUUACUGUGGUUUUGCGGUAUAAGAAAAGGUACUUCUGUAAUUUAAUAAACAUUUACGACGUGUAUUAAUCUUUAAUGAUAAAAUGUAUGGUAAUAAAUUUUAAGUACAUUGCUGUAGCUUUUAGCAGUUUACUGUCU